UGGGACAGUGUCCCACGCAGCCGGGAGAAAUAUCUAGGAACAGCGUGGGAAGGUGGAGCUUUAUGGCCAAUAAAUAGGGUACAAAGUUGUUUUCCGUCAGUGCCUACAUGCCAAAUAGACACUCGAAGGCUUCCUUUUUACCCGAGAAAGCCGGGCGGGCUGGGGGUGGGGGGGACGGUGAGGGCGUCAGGCCUUGAGGGCGUGGGAUCAUGUACCAGUCCUGAUCCCGGAAUAAUUGAAUGAAAGCAAGCUCAGACCUACUUAACCAACUAAGAAAUAUCUACAGCUUGAAGUAUACUAAUUUUUGGAAGUGGAUGUGAUGCAGGCAGGCCAGUCUGAGGACACGGGAGGGGGGCCCCAAAGGACGAGCCAAAAGGAUUCCUGGCUUCGGGCAGGAUAGAAAUCACAUGUGAAAAGUUUAUGGAAUAGCGGGAGUGACCGAGAAUAGCAGAGGGAGUGUCUGGGAGACUCCAAAGGGGGAAUGAGUCUAGGGGUUGCUUUGGGUUAGGGAUUUAUAUUGGAAAGGUGUCCAGGGUAUGUGUUCCUUGAGGAUUCCAGGAGAGGGGCCAAAGGCACAUGACAGGUGAAUAUUAGGUGUUAUUUUAGAAGGUCCGCGGUGUUGAUGCCAGCCUCAGCCCAGAUUUGAUCGAAGCUAAUGUCCUGGAAUGAGUUUGGGAUCUGGCUCUUUUUAGAUGUUAUCCGGUGUCUGAGAACUUAGGACAGAACUCAGAGAAUAACUUUCUUAUUUCCCCCUUGGAGUGGGAACAUAGCUCCUCUGGUUUAUGCAAACGCAAAAAAUAGAACAUGAGUAAAUGGGGCCUAGCAGAAGAACAGCAGAGAUGGAGCCUUUCUAAAAAUGGAGUCCCUUCCGUUUCCCUAUCUCAGAUGCUUUAUCUGUGCUGGCAGUUGUCUACUUCCAGAAGUCUCCUGCAGCACUCCUGUUCCUUUUAGGGCCAGAGGCUCCUAGGGCCUGACUUUUAGAACAGGAGGCCCACGAGGCAAGUCAGUCACAGCUGGUUUGCUGCUUCCUUCAGUGUCAGUCCGUGUUGACUAAGGGCUUGCCAUAUCCCUGGUUGGUGGGUGGAGAGCCAGAUAAGACCAGACUCUGACACCCAGUGAAUCCCAACGAGGGAGCACUGCAUAAGACUCCGUAUCCUUUACUCCCAGGAUCUAGAGUCUGAGACUACUCUGCCUCUUAAAAACUUCUCUGUGCCAGGGGAGCAAAUACUUCAAGAUCCGUUUUGAAGGCACUUUCAAGUAAAUGGCCAGCUUUGCACUCAUCUCCUUUUCCCCAGUGGGACCUCCUUUUUCUGCAAGAGUCACUAAAGAUCAGAAACAUAAUAGGAUACAGUGGCCUUCUGAGAAGCUCAGCUGAUUAACUCAUGAAAAUAGAAGUUGGAGAAGUUGAGAUGUUGGAUACAAAAGGCAACAAAUUACAUCACAAAAUGAUUCUGGAAUCCGUACAACUGACUACUCUCCUGCACAUGGGAAAAUCCUUUUUCCUCUCAACCAAUCAAGUUAAUCCUACUUCCCAGGCCAGUGACUAGUUUACAAACGGGCAGAGGGUAUAAUUCUAGCCAAUGAGACACAAUGUCCCGGGGUGGUCGUGGUGCUCGGAAAAGAUGUGCAUUGGAAGAAAGUUAUUUCUGUUCUUCUUCUAAUGAGGCUGUUUCUACAUGUACACCUCCUGUAAUAGCCCAGCCAUCUUGGCACUGUGAAGGGAGCUGGAAGAAAGAUGGAAACAACAGUGACAAUGUUGAGUUGAAGAAUUAACGAAGUCUAAAGUUUCUACCUCUGGACUCGUUAUAGGAAAUAAAUUUUCCUUAUUGUUUAAGCCA